UAGGUGGAUGCUCGCUGGUUAGAGUACUUAGCUGUUAACUAAGCUUAUGUGGGAUCGAGGCCCUCCCACCUAG
rnacentral:tRNA from 2 species